GAAAUCAGCAAUUUGAAACCCUAACUCUCUCUCUCUCUUCCUCUCAAUCCUUUCCCUUUUCCCCACACCUUUCCGCCAACGACACCGCCACCGUCGCUCCUCCUCCUCCUUCUUCUUCUCCUCCAACGUCACCGUCCCUUCUCUUUUUCCUUUUCUUCUUUUUCUUUCUUCUUCUUCUUCUUCUCCGCCUUUGGUAACGGCGACGCUGCCGCCGCAUCUUCUCUUUUCCAUUUUCUUCUUUUCUUUCAUCAUCAUCUUCUUCUUCGCCUUCGUCUGCGGCGACGCCGCCGCCGCCUCUUCUCUUUCCUUUUUUUUCUUCCUUCACCCUUCUCUGCCUCUCCUUUCUACCUCGGUCCUGACAGCGGUGGUGGCGCGGCCGCCACCUCCUCCUGCUUCCUCGCCUCCCUCAGUGGUAGUGACGUCGCCAUUUUUCUCCUCUUAACGAUUAGGGCGACAAAAAGGUAAAACAACGGAAAACCCCUCUCUUUUAUUCCUCUUUUCUGAUUUUUACUCCGAUCCAGACUUGCAUGUCGUCUGCAAAUCCCGAUUUGUAGAUCUAGGGUUUGAGUUUUCGUUUUGUAGCCUUCUUCUGACUUUUGUUGUUUUAUUUUAUUUUUGAUUUGGGUUUGGCGUCGGUGGAACGGGGGAGAAGAGACGAUCCCACCGCCGAUGAUUCGGCCGACUGUAGCGAACAGAAAAAAAGGAGGUAGGUAAAAACUCUGUUUUAUUUUCUUUGACCAGUCCCAAUUUUAGUAAAUAAUGAAACUAACCCUUUUCGUUAUUUCAGGCGAGAAAACAAAAGAAAAUAUACUUGAAUCGUUCGAGAGAAAUAGAAGCGAAAGAGAGGGGGAAAUCUACUGUAAGGUAAAACCUUAAUCUCUAACUAUUCUGAUUUUUCUUGGUAGAUGACAGUGAUUUGUCAUCGAUUAAGGUUGUUUAAAAUAUGAAAACUUGACUAUCUCGCUUAUUAAGACUAAAUUCGUAUUCUAAAUGUUGUGAAAAUGAUUUUCCUUUUGAAAAACUGAUUAUUUUGUCACUUUUACGAAAAUUUCAGCAAUCACAUUUAAAAAAAAAGACAUUUAGUUUAGCUCGAUUUUUAUGAGUAGUCUUGUAGUUCUUGUAUUCUCGGUGUAAGCUGUAUGAAAAUGAUAAUAGGGGGUUGCUUUAUCCACUAUUAAUCUAUUUUCCAGCAGCCUUUCUUGAACGAAAAAGUUGCAUUUUACCUUUGAAUUCAUUGUUCGCAUAAGUUGGCUAUUUAACCAUUUAGUAGUUGUGAAUAUCAAGAUACGAGUAGUUUAAGUGGUAACAAAAUAGCCAAUAUGGCAUAAAUCCCUAGGAAGUAUAUUGAUAAGUGUUGUAAGAGAAUAUGAAUGAUAUGAAUCGGAAAAGGGUUCGUUUGGGAGCACCGACCUUUUAACGUUAGCGUUUGUUCUUCAAAGUUUCGAUAGUGUGGACUAAAUCUAUGUUUCUUGUUCAAGGAAUUUCGGGGAUCCAAUGGGUCUCGGGAGUCUAACGGAAGCGCCUUCUCUCGCGGAUUCAACACUUUCCAAUCUUUGUAUCUUUUCUCCGUUUUGUUUUUUUUCGUUAUUGUUGUUUUGUGAUAGGUUUAGUGAGAUUGGGUGUGUUGUGGAUUCAUGGUGUAAUGAGAUUUUGGGUUUUUGGGGGAGAACUGGGGGAGUUUUCGUUAUAAUCUGUAGAUCUUUUCUUCUUCGUCUCCCCUUUGAUUGUUGCUGUUAGAUGUCUUAUUUAUAGGAAUGAAGGUGAUGAUGACAAUGCAAGGGAGAGGUGAGGUGUUGACACGUGGGGGGAUGACUAAUCUAGGUCAGAAUUUUUGUAAAAUUAAUACUUUUUUUUUUAAUUUUCGUCCAUUUAUUUUUAAUUAAAACUCUGAAAUUAGAAACGGGCCCGAACCAACCCAAUCUCAUACACUUACUGGG
rnacentral:lncRNA from 1 species